GACGAACGCUGGCGGCGUGCUUAACACAUGCAAGUCGAACGAUGAAGCAGAGAAACGCGCACUUCGGUUCAAAUUUCACUCCGGAUUAGUGGCAGACGGGUGAGUAACGCGUGAGCAACCUACCUCUUACAAAGGGAUAGCCUCUGGAAACCGAGAUUAAUACCAUAUGACACCUUCAUAAGGAAUCGUAAGAAUGUUAAAGGUACGGCGGUAAAGGAUGGGCUCGAGUCCCAUUAGCUAGUUGGGCAGGUAACGGCCCCCCAAAGCGACGAUGGGUAACCGGGCUGUGAGAGUGAGCCGUCACAUUUGCGCUGAGACACAGUCCAAACUCCUACGGGAAGCAGCAGUGGGGAAUAUUGCACAACGGAGGGAGCUCUGAUGCAGCGACGCCGCGUGAGCGAUGUAGUAAGUCGUUACGUAAAGCUCUGUUCUAUGGGAAGAAAAGGACUGUACCAAAGGAGAAAGCCCCGGCUAACUACGUG
rnacentral:rRNA from 1 species